GAUGAUGAGGCAGCAGAAGCCUGCACUGCCCCGGGUUGCCUGCAAACCCCGAGGCUGGAGAGAGGCCUGGGACACAGUGCUCCUUCCCAGUCUUAAACACACAGGCCUGGUGACUCCUGGAUGGUGGCCUUCCAGUCUCCAGCAUGGUGAGACAGUAAAGGUCUGUUACUUAGCCGCGCCCCGCCACCCCUCAGUUUGCAGACCCGGCUUUGGCGUCCCUGGAAACCUAGCAGAGCACCUUUCACCUCAGGCUCUGGCGUCCCCAGUGGUGGAGUUUCUGCCUCCUCCUGGAGCCCCAGCAGCAAGCCUCUCCACCUGAAGAGGCCAUCAAAACGGGUUUAGACACACAAAGCGUUGACAAGAAGAUGGACCCUCAGCUACAGAGGACGUGUCAUUGUUCGUGAAGCACUUGCCCAACAGGAACUUCAAUGUUAAUUGUGAAAAAGCGGCAUGGGAGAAUGACUAGGAACUGCAGCUUCGCGAAUUGGUGAACUUUGCAUAUGGACAAUUAACUAAAAAAGAACAAGCCAGUUUGGAAAAUUGUGGGUAUUUCUGCAAAUGAAAUGUCUGCCUGCCUUUGGAUUAUGCAGUCAUUUUUCCAUCAAGAAGACUCAUCAAUUGGCCUGAACAGUAGUUCAGACUGUAGUCAAGACAAAAACCCGCAUUUGGACCUAACUGAAUUUCAGCAUCCUCUGGAAACCACAGCCAUCAUCCUGGGAUCUCUGGGUUUUCCCUGACACUUUCCCCCUGUAUCUCCCAUGACAACAAAGUAUCACAUUCCCAUAUCUCUGAGAAGAAUGUGAAUAUCUCAUCCAUGAAAUUUAGAAGCUACUCAUCUCUAAUAGCAAAACAAAAACUCAUCACUGGACUAGGGAUGGGGCUCUGUGGUAGAGUGCUUGCCUAACUUGAACUAAAGCCAGGGAUUCAAUCCCCAGCACUACGAAACAAAAACAGAAACAAACACACAUAAAGACCUUAUAAUAACUAUUUAUAAGUAUUUUAUUUUUUUUAGAGAGAGCGCGCUACUGCUUGAGCCACAUCCCCAGCCCCAAAGUAUUUGUAUUUUUAAGGUAAAAGGAAUUGAUUCACAAUCUAGUCACAAAUCAGUUCUUAUUUUCACACACUAAAGAGAGCUCUAUUGAGUAAAAUGAGAUAAAAAAUCAAUUUGUUAAGAUCAAUAAGUAAAAAAGUUAUUUGCACUGUUAUUUUCAAACAGCAUUUUAUUUACCACUUUUAACCUUUUAACUCAUAUUUUCUCCUUUCCAAUCAUGUGGUUUGAAUAAAUACACUGCCCAGAUCUCCGGCACCUGAAUUGUGUGUUAUGGCUCUUCUGAAAAAAAAAAAUAUUAUUGAUGCAGAUUUGUUUUAUUUCAAAGCCAAUGAAAAUAAACACUCAUUUUUUUUAUAGACUUAGAUAAAAGUGAAUUUUUAAAAAUGAACGAAUUUGGUGUCAACAUAUCUUAUGUACAGAGAUAUGAUAAAUUGUGAUAUAAAAGUGUAUUAAGAAUUGUAAUGCAAAUAAUAAUAAUAA